GUGGAGUGCGAAGACAUGGCAAGAAAUCCAUCACACAGAAGAAGAGCAAUAGGGUAUAAAUCAGGGGAAUUGCAACAGCAAUUCCUGCUGCAAUGCAAUGCAUUUUCGGUUGCGGACGUGAAUCCCACGUUCGGGAGGAGUGGGGACGGGGUGGUGGGGGUCAGCGGGCUUUUUCUGACUCGGGCUCUCGAGCGGAGGGCGAAAUUGGGCUCAGUCUCUGUCUUGGGCAGUUGUAGUGGGCGAUUGCGAGAACGGAAGCCGAUACGCAUUUGUCCGAAUUGCGCGUCUCGUUCGUGUUGGGAUGGUGAAACAGGGUUUUGGACUCGAGUGUGGGGAUUGUUAGCGAUGGCGGAGUUGGGUAGCGUGCAUCGGUACGCUGCGGGUGGGCUUUUCGCUCUAGCUUUGAGUCAGGCUCAAAUUCAGCCGCGAGCUCCUCUCGAACACCCAUCCGUCGGUGGUUCCGAUGACCAUCCGCAGCCCAGGACUCCCUUCCUCGACGCGGAGGAGGUUUCAUGGUGCGAUCCGGAUCAUGGGUUGCUGCGCCACGUUUUCAGGUUCUUAGGAAUAGAUGAGAAAGCAUGGAUUGGACUUGAGAUGACGGCUAUGUCUCCCGACAGCAAACACCAAAUUGGAGCCUUUCUGAGAUUGUUGGCAGAAGAUGAGAGUGAACCUUCAUCAAGUGGUGAAAGUCGACGGAUGAUGGAAUCUGCUGCAAGUUCUGAUGGAGUUGGAACCCUUCGUCGUCAUGAAGAUUCUUCGGUGGUCAAUGUCAAGGGAAAGGAUAGGGCUCAGGAAUUUGAAGAGUCCUCCGAAUAUUAUAGCAGGUUCAGUGAAGCUGAGAUUAUGACGAAGCAACGGAAGAUAGAAAUUAUGCACGAGCUGGUGAUGGCGUGCGUCUCUGGCUUUCCUAACGGUAAAGGACUGAAGGUUACGAAGUAUGGGUAUGAUGCACGCCAACGUGUGGCUCUGCGUUUGCUUGCUCUCUGGCUUAACAUUAAAUGGAGCAAAGUGGUGAGCUUGGAGUUAAUGGUAGCUCAUACGGCCAUGGAUGCUCAUAAGAAGAGAGAGCAAACCCAUAAUGACGAUGAAGAAGUUGCAAAAAGCAGGUGGCAGAGACUGAAAAGAGGAAGUUUAAUUGGUGGGGCUGCGGUUACUGGAGGAGUCCUUUUGGCAAUUACUGGUGGACUAGCAGCUCCGGCAAUAGCAGCAGGUAUGGCCGCUGUUGGAACAGCAGUACCUGCACUUGGAGCUGGUGGCCUUGCAGCAGCUGCUGCACUGGCGGGUUCCACAAUGGGCUCUUUGGCCGUGGCAGCUUCGUUUGGAGCUGCUGGAGCUGGCCUGACUGGUUUUAAGAUGGCUCGAAGAACUGGUGGAAUUGAGGAAUUUCAGUUUGUGCCAAUUGGUGAUAAUCACCAGCAGGGAAGGCUAGCUGUUGCGGUUCUCGCUUCCGGUAUUGUUUUCGAUCUGUAUGAUUAUAUUGAACCAUGGGAAGCACCGGACGGAGACUUAGAAAGGUAUGCUCUUCAAUGGGAGUCUGAACAUCUUCUAGCAGUCAGCACAGCCAUAGAAGACUGGCUCACUUCCAAUGUGGCGAUUCAGCUGAUGUCGCGGGGAGCAAUGUAUACUGUUCUUGGCGGCCUCGUUGCUGCUCUAGCAUGGCCUGCCACAUUGCUUAGUGCCACCGAUUUCAUUGACAGCAAGUGGACGAUUGCUGUUGACAGGUCCGACAAAGUCGGCAAGUUAUUGGCGAAAGUUUUACUGAAAGGUGCUCAAGGAAACAGGCCAGUGACGCUCAUUGGAUUUUCACUGGGUGCCCGGGUUAUUUUUGCGUGUUUGGAAGAGUUAGCAAAGGAAGGAAACCAAGGUGGAAUUGUCGAGCGCGUGGUACUCCUUGGGGCUCCCCUCAUUCUCAAUAAACCUCGGUGGGAGAAAGCACGGCAGGUUGUUGCAGGACGAUUCAUAAAUGCUUAUUCCACCAGCGAUUGGAUGCUUGGUGUAGUGUACAGAGCCAAGUAAUUUUCGACCCUUGACUGAGGCAUUUUGAUUUUUCUCUCUCAGGGACUAGCAGGACUUCAAGCUGUCGACGUACCUGGCAUCGAAAAUGUGGAUGUGACGGAUCUGGUGAACGGUCACUCCUCUUAUUUGAAGAAAGCUGGUGAUAUUGUACAGGCCCUUGAUAUCGAUAGCUUCUAUCCAACCCACAACUGUAAGCUACAGUAGUCGGUUUAUUUUUGAUAGAUGAUAUGCAAUUCGUUUGCAGCCUGAACUUUCGAUGAUAGGUGUGGGCACCAUUGAUUUACAGUGCUAGCUGCUACUUGUUCUGAUGUCGUGAAGGUCUGCACUCGAUUAUUGGACUCGGAUUACAGAGUUCCUAUGUCGAAUCUAGUUACAAACAUUACUUCCAUGAAAUUCAUUAUUGUCACAUGAUACAACUACGCCGUUUAUGUAAAUAGCCUCUCUUCCACAGGCUACUAAUAACAAGUUAGGCCAUAAUUUGGUCUACGUACUUUUCCUGCGAAAAA